UUACAGGCUGGGCUACACACGUGCUACAAUGGCGUUGACAGUGGGCAGCUAGACCGCAAGGUCAUGCUAAUCUCUAAAAGACGUCUCAGUUCGGAUUGUUCUCUGCAACUCGAGAGCAUGAAGGCGGAAUCGCUAGUAAUCGCGGAUCAGCAUGCCGCGGUGAAUACGUUCCCAGGCCUU
rnacentral:rRNA from 1 species